rnacentral:rRNA from 1 species
CCUACGGGAGGCAGCAGUGAGGAAUAUUGGUCAAUGGACGAGAGCCUGAACCAGCCAAGUAGCGUGAAGGAAGACUGCCCUACGGGUCGUAAACUUCUUUUAUAAAGGAAUAAAGUGAGGGACGUGUGCCUUUUUGCAUGUACUUUAUGAAUAAGGAUUGGCUAACUCCGUGCCAGCAGCCGCGGUAAUACGGAGGAUCCGAGCGUUAUCCGGAUUUAUUGGGUUUAAAGGGAGCGUAGAUGGGGUGUUAAGUCAGUUGUGAAAGUUUGCGGCUCAACCGUAAAAUUGCAAUUGAUACUGGCAGUCUUGAGUACAGUUGAGGUAGGCGGAAUUCGUGGUGUAGCGGUGAAAUGCUUAGAUAUCACGAAGAACCCCGAUUGCGAAGGCAGCUUACUAAACUGUGACUGACAUUGAUGCUCGAAAGUGUGGGUAUCAAACAGGAUUAGAUACCCCGGUAGUC